CUUACACCCACCUAGGGGUAAGGAGCUGAUAUCAGGCACAAAAUUGCCCAAAACAUCUAGCCACGCCACACCCACAAGGGCCUUCAGCAGUGAUUAACCUUAAGAAUAAACGUCAGUUUGACUUAGUUAGAUGAAAGCAGAGCCGGCCAAUCUGGUGCCAGCCGCCGCGGUUACACCAUAGGCUCUAAUUGAUUUUAACACGGCGUAAAGCGUGAUUAAAGAAAUCUCUUCUGGGGUCAAAAUUAAAUUAAGCUGUAAUACGAUUAUUUUUAAGAAGCCCUAUCUCGAAAGACACCCCAAUUAAUCAACUUGAAUUCACAACAACUAGGGUACAAACUGGAAUUAGAUACUCCACUAUGCCUAGUCGUAAACUUUAACUUACACCACAUCGCCAGGGAACUACGAGCAAAGCUUAAAACCCAAAGGACUUGACGGUGCCCCACAUCUUUCUAGAGGAGCCUGUCCUACAACCGAUACUCCCCGUUCAACCUCACCGCCCUUGGCCAAUCAGCCUGUAUACUUCCGUCGCCAGCUUACCGCGUGAGCGAGUGAGUAAGCUUAAUGUCCCACAUCAACACGUCAGGUCAAAGUGCAGCACAUAGAGCGGCAAGAGAUGGGCUACACUUUCUACCGUAGAAGACACGAAAGAAUAUGUGAAACCAUAUUCAGAAGGUGGAUUUAGCAGUAAGGGGACAUUAGAAUACCCCCCUUAACCCAGCACUGGGGCGUGUACACACCGCCCGUCACCCUCUUC
rnacentral:rRNA from 1 species